rnacentral:rRNA from 1 species
UACGGGGGGGGCAAGCGUUGUUCGGAAUUACUGGGCGUAAAGGGUUUGUAGGUGGCUUGCUAAGUCAGACGUGAAAUCCCUCAGCUUAACUGGGGAACUGCGUCUGAGACUGGCGAGCUUGAGUGCAGGAGAGGAACGCGGAAUUCCAGGUGUAGCGGUGAAAUGCGUAGAUAUCGAGAGGAACACCUGCGGCGAAGGCGGGUUGCUGGGCUGACACUGACGCUGAGGCGCGAAAGCUAGGGGAGCGAACGGG